GUCAUGGCUGGAACAAGUGAAAGAUUUUGAAAGAAGAUUCUCUAAAUAUAUUCAUCAUUUGCAACCUGCCCCAGGACACUGGAGAAUGUUUCUCAUGGAGGGAUCUGUCUGUACUGGUGCCUGGGAGUGGUUAAUAGAUCCCGAGACAAAAGAGUUCCUUCUUCACGUCUUUAUGGAAUCAUCCAUUUUUUCAUGAUUAGCUUUUCACUCUAAUAGGUUUGUUCUUUGCUGGAUGCACAAGAGGUAGUUGCACCAUCAAUUACAGCAGUUCAGUGUCAAACAGUAUUAACAGAGUAUAAUAUGUCUGGUGAUGAUACUGGAAAACUAAUUUUGAAACCUAGGCCUUGUGUUCAA
rnacentral:lncRNA from 1 species